CACAAGGUCUGACUAUACACAGGACAUUUAUCACAAAGCAUAAACAGUAUGGAGUAUGGAAACAGCAGACUUCUUGCUGCCAGGAUCUAGCCAGAAAAACUGCUGUCAAUAGUUUUCAAUCCGGCUCCUAGCCUUAUCGGGUACAACGACUGAUAUGUCUGAUGCCAGGAUGCCCACACCAGGUGUAUAGUGCAUGCCCAGACCAGAGUGCUACCUACAGCUGCUAACUCGGGCGUCAGAUCACCUUCAGAGAAAUCCUAUGCUGAGAAGAGACGUGGAAGUUUCUUGCCACUAAUAUUCAAGACCCCCUUAUGAGGAUUAAGGGUAAAAAGUAGAGUCUCAUUAGAAUCCACUCCUGGGCAUGGAUCCACAAUAACGCCACAGCAGCUUUGAGGCUUCACUGCAAGAACAGUUAUACUAUGAUUAUGUGUGGGAACAGUGGCUGUCCAAUAGCAGGCAAGCACUUAAAGGAGAAGUAUCAUGUAAAAAAAAAAACUAUCCCCUAUCCAAAAAAUAGGAGAUACG